rnacentral:rRNA from 1 species
UACGUAGGGUGCGAGCGUUGUCCGGAAUUAUUGGGCGUAAAGGGCUCGUAGGCGGUUUGUCGCGUCGGGAGUGAAAACCAGGUGCUUAACACCUGGCUUGCUUUCGAUACGGGCAGACUAGAGGUAUUCAGGGGAGAACGGAAUUCCUGGUGUAGCGGUGAAAUGCGCGGAUAUCAGGAGGAACACCGGUGGCGAAGGCGGUUCUCUGGGAAUGACCUGACGCUGAGGAGCGAAAGUGUGGGGAGCGAGCAGG